AUGGAAUCUUUCUCUCUUGCUCUUUUGGCGUAUGACCGUCUGAUUGCGAUCUGCUGGCCUCUGCGUUACUCUACAAUAAACACCAACCUGAGGAUGCUGCUCAUAAUAGCAGGGAUUUGGUCUCUGGUUGUUCUGCUGGAGAUUUUCCCAGUCAUUUUUGCAGCCAGACUCCCUUACUGUAGCUCCAGAGAGGUACAGAGCUGCUGUUGUGAACACAGUCCAGUCUAUAAGUUGGCUUGUACGGACACUUCUUUCAACCGACAACUGGGUACAGCUAAGACUCUGACUGCUUUACUAGGCCCUUUGACUUUUAUUAUUUUCACCUAUGCGAUUGUAGUGGUUGCUGUGACACGGAUUGCAUCCAUAUCACAGCGUUGGAAGGCCUUCCACACCUGUCUCACUCACCUGCUGCUGGUCCUGCUCUAUUAUAUGCCUGUCAUGCUGGCAUAUGUACUAGGGAAUCUGCGUUUAAUUCAGAAUUUUGACCUUUACACAGCAGUUCUGACCGUUUCUGUUACCAUCCCCCCAAUGCUGAACCCCAUCAUCUACAGCUUAAAGACUGAUGAACUCAGAGACAAGAUAGUCAAGCUUCUCGGAAAGCCAAAAGUGGCACAACAGAUCAUUAAAAAUGAGGCCAAUGGUUAACAAGAUCUUUG